rnacentral:rRNA from 1 species
UACGAGGGGGGCGAGCGUUGUUCGGAAUCACUGGGCGUAAAGCGUGCGUAGGCGGUUGAUUAAGUCUGCUGUGAAAGCCCUGGGCUCAACCUGGGAACUGCAGUGGAUACUGGUCAGCUAGAGUGUGAUAGAGGAUGGUGGAAUUCCGGGUGUAGCGGUGGAAUGCGUAGAGAUCCGGAAGAACACCGGUGGCGAAGGCGGCCUGCUGGGCAGUAGCUGACACUGAGGCGCGACAGCGUGGGGAGCAAACAGG